AUGUGAUAACACUAUUGGUACUCUUGCAGUAAAGCACAUGCUUUUACAGAGUCAUUCUGAUAUUUUUUUUGUACGAUAAGUGCAGGUUGAAAAGGGUCCAUCUAUUAAUUGACACUAAAUUUUGCUGAGGUAAAUAGCAAGGGAGAGUAUCUCAGUAAAUCUGUCAACAUUCAAAGUCUGCAAACAUUGAUUGUCCUUGCUGCAGUCAAUUAUGUCUCAAGUAAGACAACCGAAACUUCACAACUGAUUUUAACUGUUCCUUCAAUCCCUUCACACAGUAACAGUUGAGAGUUGCCAUGAUCUCGUUAAUUGUGGAAAUUGUUAGUUGUUCUGCAUCUUUUAUAACGGUGAUAUCCAGGUCAAAAUCUGGAUGGAGAGCUUUGGAGCAACAGUAAAGUUGUCGUUCAAGCGGUAGAACCAGCUAUUAAUGCUUGCAUUAGGUAAACUGUCUAUAUCACAUCCCUUGAGGUGCGGCCCUUCCCUGGACCAUGUGUGAACUCGGAAUGCCUUGUGCACGGCUGCCCUUUAGCACAAGUCAAAAUCUGAUGAUGGAGUCAACAAUAUAUAUCUUCACAUGUUUCUGAACAAAUGUUUGGAUGAGUAUAGCAGCAUUGUGUUGCCUGUUUGAGGAAGGUGGAUUAUUUGAGGAUCGUGUCAACCGUAUGAUUUCAACUGCUGCUUGAGCUGUGGCCACGGCAGCU